rnacentral:rRNA from 1 species
UACGUAGGGACCAAGCGUUGUUCGGAUUUACUGGGCGUAAAGGGCGCGUAGGCGGCGUGACAAGUCACUUGUGAAAUCUCCGGGCUUAACUCGGAACGGCCAAGUGAAACUGUCAUGCUAGAGUGCAGAAGGGGCAAUCGGAAUUCUUGGUGUAGAGGUGAAAUUCGUAGAUAUCAAGCGGAACACCGGUGGCGAAGGCGGCCUUCUGGACAGUGACUGACGCUGAGACGCGAAAGCGUGGGGAGCAAACAGG